AAGCAUGCUUGUAUUGUAUAUUAUUUCUUUUCUUAUUUUGAUUACUAACCAAAAGCACAAAAAUAUGUCACUAACUCUUUUUGUUUUGAAGCUCAAGUGAUCAUGUGCUCCCAUGCUCCUAGGAGGCUCCUAAGCUCAAAAGCACAAAAAUAUGUCACUAACUCUUUUUGUUUUGAAGCUCAAGUGAUCAUGUGCUCCCAUGCUCCUAGGAGGCUCCUAAGCUCAAUGAAGU
rnacentral:lncRNA from 1 species